AAGAGAGCCCGGGGCGCCCUCGGGCCCCCAGACCUCCCACCCUUUGUAAACCUACCUCGAGUUGCUUUGGCGGGGCGUGGUUAGAAAUAACCCCGUUGGCUCCCCCGGGGGCUGGCGAGAUCCCGCCAGAGAAUCAUUAGAAUCUUGCUUCAAAUAUCCGUGGUCUGAACCUUUUCAUUUUGCAAAUAGCGGAA
rnacentral:misc_RNA from 1 species